rnacentral:rRNA from 1 species
GACGAAGGGGGCUAGCGUUGUUCGGAAUUACUGGGCGUAAAGCGAGUGUAGGUGGUUUUCCAAGUUGGAUGUGAAAGCCUUGAGCUCAACUCAAGAAAUGCAUUCAGGACUGGAAGACUAGAGGACCGGAGAGGAUAGUGGAAUUCCCAGUGUAGUGAUGAAAUACGUAGAGAUUGGGAAGAACACCAGUGGCGAAGGCGGCUAUCUGGACGGUUUCUGACACUAAGACUCGAAAGCGUGGGGAGCAAACAGG